rnacentral:tRNA from 1 species
CAGAGUGUAACUUAAAAUUAAAGUGUUUCGCUUACACCGAAACCAUAUUUGUGAAAAUCAAAUCUCUCUGAG